GCAAGUCAGGGGUAGGGUUACUUCGGUAUCUGAGACCCGCGCACGGGUGCGUAACGCGUAUGCAAUCUACCUUUUACUAUGGGAUAGCCCAGAGAAAUUUGGAUUAAUACCAUAUAGUAUAUUUGAAUGGCAUCGUUUGAAUAUUAAAGAUUUAUCGGUAAAAGAUGAGCAUGCGUCCCAUUAGUUAGUUGGUGUGGCAACGGCAUACCAAGACGAUGAUGGGUAGGGGUCCUGAGAGGGAGAUCCCCCACACUGGUACUGAGACACGGACCAGACUCCUACGGGAGGCAGCAGUGAGGAAUAUUGGUCAAUGGAGGCAACUCUGAACCAGCCAUGCCGCGUGCAGGAUGACGGUCCUAUGGAUUGUAAACUGCUUUUGUACGGGAAGAAAACAAACUACGAGUAGUUAAUUGACGGUACCGUAAGAAUAAGGAUCGGCUAACUCCGUGCCAGCAGCCGCGGUAAUACGGAGGAUCCAAGCGUUAUCCGGAAUCAUUGGGUUUAAAGGGUCCGUAGGCGGCCUUAUAGUCAGUGGUGAAGUUUUUGGCUUAACCAAAAAAUUGCCAUUGAUACUGUAGGGCUUGAAUAUCUGUGAAGUAACUAGAAUAUGUAGUGUAGCGGUGAAAUGCUUAGAUAUUACAUGGAAUACCGAUUGCGAAGGCAGGUUACUAACAGAUGAUUGACGCUGAUGGACGAAAGCGUGGGUAGCGAACAGGAUUAGAUACCCUGGUAGUCCACGCCGUAAACGAUGGAUACUAGCUGUUUGGUUUUCGGACUGAGUGGCUAAGCGAAAGUGAUAAGUAUCCCACCUGGGGAGUACGGUCGCAAGACUGAAACUCAAAGGAAUUGACGGGGGCCCGCACAAGCGGUGGAGCAUGUGGUUUAAUUCGAUGAUACGCGAGGAACCUUACCAGGGCUUAAAUGUAGAUUGACAGAUUUGGNAAACAGAUUUUUCUUCGGACAAUUUACAAGGUGCUGCAUGGUUGUCGUCAGCUCGUGCCGUGAGGUGUCAGGUUAAGUCCUAUAACGAGCGCACCCCUGUUGUUAGUUGCCAGCACGUAAUGGUGGGAACUCUAGCAAGACUGCCAGUGUAAACUGUGANGAAGGGGGGGAUGACGUCAAUCAUCACGGCCUUACGUCCUGGGCCACCCCGUGCUACAUGGCCGGUACAAGAGCAGCCCCUUGGCGACAAGAGCGAUCUU
rnacentral:rRNA from 1 species